rnacentral:rRNA from 1 species
UACGGAAGGCAGCAGUGGGGAAUAUUGCACAAUGGGCGCAAGCCUGAUGCAGCCAUGCCGCGUGUAUGAAGAAGGCCUUCGGGUUGUAAAGUACUUUCAGUCGUGAGGAAGGUGUUAAGGUUAAUAACCUUAGCAAUUGACGUUAGCGACAGAAGAAGCACCGGCUAACUCCGUGCCAGCAGCCGCGGUAAUACGGAGGGUGCGAGCGUUAAUCGGAAUUACUGGGCGUAAAGGGCACGCAGGCGGUUAAUAAGUGGAUGUGAAUCCCCGGGCUUAACCUGGGAAUGGCAUUCAAGACUGGUUAGCUAGAGUCUUGUAGAGGGGGUAGAAUUCCAUGUGUAGCGGUGAAAUGCGUAGAGAUGUGGAGGAUACCGGGUGCGAAGGCGGCCCUGGACAAGACUGACGCUCAUGUGCGAAAGCGUGGGGAGCAAACGAGGAUUAGAUACC